rnacentral:rRNA from 1 species
GAGUUUGAUCUUGGCUCAGAUUGAACGCUGGCGGCAUGCCUUACACAUGCAAGUCGAACGGCAGCACGGGAGCUUGCUCCUGGUGGCGAGUGGCGAACGGGUGAGUAAUGCAUCGGAACGUAUCCUGGAGUGGGGGAUAACGUAGCGAAAGUUACGCUAAUACCGCAUAUUCUGUGAGCAGGAAAGCGGGGGACCUUCGGGCCUCGCGCUCUUGGAGCGGCCGAUGUCGGAUUAGCUAGUUGGUGAGGUAAAGGCUCACCAAGGCGACGAUCCGUAGCAGGUCUGAGAGGAUGAUCUGCCACACUGGAACUGAGACACGGUCCAGACUCCUACGGGAGGCAGCAGUGGGAAUUUUGGACAAUGGGGGCAACCCUGAUCCAGCCAUGCCGCGUGAGUGAAGAAGGCCUCGGUUGU